rnacentral:rRNA from 1 species
UGCAGAGAACUUCCAGAGAUGGAUUGGUGCCUUCGGGAACUCUGACACAGGUGCUGCAUGGCUGUCGUCAGCUCGUGCCGUGAGAUGUUGGGUUAAGUCCCGUAACGAGCGCAACCCUUGUCCUUAGUUACCAGCACGUUAUGGUGGGCACUCUAAGGAGACUGCCGGUGACAAACCGGAGGAAGGUGGGGAUGACGUCAAGUCAUCAUGGCCCUUACGGCCUGGGCUACACACGUGCUACAAUGGUCGGUACAAAGGGUUGCCAAGCCGCGAGGUGGAGCUAAUCCCAUAAAACCGAUCGUAGUCCGGAUCGCAGUCUGCAACUCGACUGCGUGAAGUCGGAAUCGCUAGUAAUCGUGAAUCAGAAUGUCACGGUGAAUACGUUCCCGGGCCUU